GAGACAUGGCACAUUAGCCAAACUUCCAGCUGUGACUUCUCAUUACACUGAAGGCCUUUUGCCAGAGAAGAGCAUAGAAGACUCCCUUGCAAAUGAGCCAGUGGGGAAAUAUGUGAUCCAUACUGGAGAGGAACCCUACAAAUGUGAAGAA